CUUUUGUUCUGGAAGAUACUAGUAGUGAUUAGAUGGUGUGGGUCUUUGUUUCUUUUUUUUUUUCUAUAACCAAAGAGAAACUUGUAACCAUUUGGUUUAGGAUUUUGUUUAUUGUUUAUUAGUACUAUGUCUUUCUAUACACGAUGGAACGAAGAACUUUUUUUUUUUUUUCACUUCAAUAUCAUAUAUUACAUUGGUUGUUUUACUAUUAUAUUGGUAAUAUUAGAUCCAAAAUCGGUGUAAUAAACUUUAAAUAACCGAUGUAAAAAUAUUUUUGCAUUUAUG
rnacentral:lncRNA from 1 species